GAAGCAGCCGAAUCCUGCGGACCUAUUCAAGAACUGAAGCCGGCAAUCCGCCGACGGUAACUAGCCUCCUCGCCUGAGCGUCGGUCCUCUCCGGACCGACGCUUUUUUCGUGUGCAGCGACGCCCCCUUACGUCAGGAGCCACCAGCCGUAGGCGAGGCACGCGACUGCGAGCAGCGCGAUCGCCAGGAGCGAGACGAGCGGACGCCAGACGACGCGCCGCACGCCCGCGAUCUGUCCGCCGCAGGCGGGACAGACCUUCGGAAGGGGCUCUCCCAGCGAAGCGCCGCAGGAACAGACGAGGCGGCGCUUUCGACUCACGGAUUCUCCCUGGAAACGCUUCGCUCC
rnacentral:misc_RNA from 1 species